rnacentral:piRNA from 1 species
UAGAAAUGUGGACCCUGAUCCCU